rnacentral:rRNA from 1 species
UACGGAGGGUGCGAGCGUUAAUCGGAAUUACUGGGCGUAAAGCGCGCGUAUGUGGUUUGAUAAGUCGGAUGUGAAAGCCCCGGGCUUAACCUGGGAAUUGCAUUCGAUACUGUCUAACUAGAGUAUGGUAGAGGAAAGCGGAACUCCCGGUGUAGCGGUGAAAUGCGUAGAUAUCGGGAGGAACAUCAGUGGCGAAGGCGGCUUUCUGGACUAAUACUGACACUGAGGCGCGAAAGCGUGGGUAGCAAACAGG